AAGAAGCUUGAAAUGAAUCACUUGGUAAUUGGAUUAAACAUUGCUUGCUUUAGUUAGGGGAAUGGAGAGGAAUACCCUCAUGGGGUCAUGGAUUGGCUCCAAUAAUGGCUUAAACAUUGCUCCUGAUUUUUGUGUUAAGCUUCUUCAUCAUCUUAUUUCCCUUUUUCUCCCCUAAUUUUUGUAAGGAAGUUCUUCAUCAGUUGUAUUCAUUUUCAGAAGAAGUGAAGGCUAAACAUCCCAAGAUUAUACUUAUGCAGACCUAUACUGGGUGAUUAUUUAUGGUGUUUAUAAAUUGGUGACUGUUAGUGCUAAUGCUAUUAACACAUGAUUCAAGUUAUUUGUUUCUCUCUUCCUCUCUCUCUUUUUAGUUUAAAUAUUGCAUGUUUUAGAAUUAAUGUUGAAUUUUGAGAGUUUGUGAAAGCUGAAAUGGGCAAGAGUUUAGAUUGAGAAUUUAGGGUUUGUGAAAGGACGAAACUGAGAAGGGAAAUUGAAUAAGAAGAAAAGAUUUGUGGGCUAUGAACAUUAAAAUAAAAAGUUUAAAAGUGUAUAGAUUUGGGAAAUGAUGACAAAGGGCUUCCAAGAUGUAAGCUUCCGCUAUUUGCAACCAAAGGGAAGGAGUAGCAACCAAAUGGAAGGAAAUAUCAGAGGGGAUCCUUAGCUCUAACAAGUGUUCCACUCUGAUAGCUAAGUUAGAAGUACGUAUCUGAGCAUGACACAGCAAAUCACCGUAAUAUGCUUGAUUGCAUAUCUGGUUGACGCCUAUUUAUAUCUGAUGAGUCAUGAAUUGUAUUAGACUUUUCUUAUUGUUUAACCAUAUAUUUCAUAAUGAUCUAUUAAAUAUAAUCCUGUCAUAUACGAGCAACUUGAUCUUUUUAGAAGACUGUUUUCCUCAUGCCGGACUCUGACAUGACAGCCCUAAGAAAUCAAGACUUGACAUCUGAGCCAUAUGAUCUGCAUACCAAACGCUCAUUAUACUUAUCAAAUGUCUUCAAUUUAUAAUUGUAAUUUCCUUAAGAGCUAGUGAAAUUGCAUUGGUGCUAACAGAGAUGGAUCUUCAACUAUUGCGCGAAAUAUUGCAUUCCGGUGGAUCAUCAAAUAAGAUUGUUGCCUCAUUCCUUUAGAGCUAAUGGUGAUACUAGAAAAAGAUGGCAUCGUUAUUUACGAACAAGAUCUGAUGUAGGACUCUGUUUUCCCUUACAAGAGCUUCAUGAUCAAAAUUUUAAAGGAUACAGACUCAUCACCCAGCUAGUGGGGACCAAAUGCCAGGAGGAGUAUUACCGGUUUGGCCGUUCUUUCCAUUUUGCACGAAAUUCCCCUAAAUCAGAGAAUUAUAAUUAGUAAGAUGUUCUACCAUGGAAAGAGAGCCGAUGGAGAUUAUUGACACUUACCUGCUUGGCUGGGUUGCGAUAUAUUUUCUGGAGUAUACUCCGCAAUUAAUAAAGAAUUGGCAAGAUAAAUUCUUUAUUGUGACAAGGCCUGAAGGGCUUGGUUUGCCCAAUCGAGGUGGGUGAUAUCAACCAAAGAUAUUUUGAAAGAGAGGGAGCUGAGCAAAGUGAUUGGAAGGGUCUCCUGAGCCAAUCAGUCUUGAUGGAGGAGAGCAAGAAAUGGUUGAGGUGGAGAGAAUCCGAGCCAUGGCCAACUGGAACAGAUCGACAAUAACCUCAAGUUGAGCCUAUGGAGCCUGGUGAUGCCAUUCUAGAGCCAGCAGAACCUGUUAAGGCAGCUGAUGUCUCAUAGCCUCAAUAUAGCGUUGAGUUAUUUUUAAUCCCCUUCCAACCUGAUUGGUGUCUUCUCAUGCAAGUUGGUGUGGUAUAGAACUACUGAUUUGGUGAAAUUGAAGCUCUGCCUUAUCAUUUCAGUGUAAUUUUAUAAUGAUUUUUUCUCAGAAAAUUGACUGUUUAAAUGUUAGUUAUUUAAAUCUUGGCUCUUCAAAGGUAGUUUACAAUAAUUACUACCUCUUCUUGUAGCCAUUUAAAAACUGUUCUGUGCUAGGGAAAGCUUGUUUCUUGCCCUACUUCUUGAAUUAAAAUCAUUUGUAAUAUGUCAUGUUGUUUUUCUUAAUGCAAAAUUUAAUGGGAGGCAGGAUAAGGAGGCAUUCUUUGGA